CAGUUUGGAUGCAUGUUCAGCUCUCUGGCAGAACAUUGAAAAAUGUAUAGUGUUUUGCAGUGCUUAGAUUCAUAUCUUAAACAUAAUAUUGCAACAUCUGGAAUAUCAAUAUUAUAGACCAGUGCUUCCCAAACCUGUCCUGGAGGCCCCACUGCCUUGCACCUUUUGUAUGUCUACCUUAUCUAACACACCUGAUUCCACUCAUCAGCUCUUUAGAGACUGCAAGAACUUAAUUGGGUGUGUCUGAUUAGGGAGAUAUACAAAAUGCGCACGGCAGGGCGUCCUCCAGGACAGGUUUGGGAACCACUGUUCUAGACCAAAAGUUGUUUAAAAUAUUAGGUAGGCUUUGCAUGUUCAUUCUGAAGGCUAGAACUUCACCAGGACAUACAUCAUACAAGAGCUCUAAUAAAAACUGCAUAGACCUGACUAAGUCCAGACCACACACCUUGUGACUCUACACAUCCGCACACACACCAGGAGAGAAGCAGAAGGUGACCUUCAGAGAAUUAACACAGGAUACUCACACACACACCACAGUCCUCAGAGAUUUGAACACCUUGUCUACAUUCACACAGCCACAGAAUGCACUUGUCAGUCCUGUUUAGAAAGCUAAACACAGUUCUGUUCAUAUACGCAGUUCAGGUGACAGAGUGACAGCUGCAUUCAAUAACCAAAGUGACAGGAGCCACAACCAAAUUUUGAGAGCAAGUAGUUGUCUGUCAGGCCACUGACAUGAGGACAUUUUAUUUUGUCAGAAUACAUGACUGCUUUGAAUGGCUGCCUGUGUUAGGGCUACCUCAAGAAAUAAGGCUUACUGGGUCUCAUUCAUAAAAAACAAGGAGAAUAAUGUAAAUUGUUCAUAAAAUAUUCAUAUAAUAGUUUUAUAGAAUUAGUAAUGGUGUUACAUAUAAGAAAACACUAAUUAAAUCAAGAAAAUUGACAUUGGUUACUUGUCCAUAUACAGACAUUAUUCAGUCAUUCUCAGUGAGGCACAACUUACCAGUAGUUAACAUUCUCUUUAAGUUCUUGGGAUGU
rnacentral:lncRNA from 1 species